UACAAAUACAGCCAAGUGUAUGGUGUCAGGGAACUAUUUAUUGAAGGUAGGGUCUGGCUGUAGCUGAUAUGGGAGAAAAGCACCUCACUGCGCAGUGCUGGAGAGUCUUCAGGUACAGAUGCUGGAUUCUAGAGCAACACUCAUUGCUAGUGCGGUAUCGAUGAUGAGGAGCUGGUGCUUCAGGGACAUGAAGAUGACUAAAUAUGGAAAGCUCUGCGACUGAGACCAAGACAAGGUAGACAUCCAAAUGAUAGUGCUGCCCAGAGAGAAACUUAUGACUCAGUCUUCCUGGAAUUUAUACAAUUUACCUCCUCCUACUUAUUCCACUUUGCAGCUUUUUGUCACACGUUUAUUCUUAGCAUCCUGAGCAUAAAAAGUGCUUGAAAAAAAGGGAAAGAGGCUGGUUGUCACAUCACCUCCUUUCACUUGCUGGUCUCCACAAUGAAAAGGAGCUGAGUGAAUAAAAGUGUCUGAGAUGGGUCACAUUCCCAGCCUUUCAACAGUUAAGCAAAGACUUUGUCCUAAGAGAAGAUGGUGCAGUCAUUAUUCAUUUGCUUUAUAAAGAUAUAGCAAUUUGGCACUCAGUCACUCAGUUGAGGGAGAAGAAAGGGACUGUGGUCUUUACUCAA